rnacentral:sRNA from 1 species
CUCGAGCCAGCUCAAGCCCGCAGCUCGCAGGGAGAUCCAGCUCCGUCCUGCCUGCAGCAGCCCAACCCUGCACACCCGCCAUGGAUGUCUUCAAGAAGGGCUUCUCCAUCGCCAAGGAGGGCGUGGUGGGUGCGGUGGAAAAGACCAAGCAGGGGGUGACGGAAGCAGCUGAGAAGACCAAGGAGGGGGUCAUGUAUGUGGGAGCCAAGACCAAGGAGAAUGUUGUACAGAGCGUGACCUCAGUGGCCGAGAAGACCAAGGAGCAGGCCAACGCCGUGAGCGAGGCUGUGGUGAGCAGCGUCAACACUGUGGCCACCAAGACCGUGGAGGAGGCGGAGAACAUCGCGGUCACCUCCGGGGUGGUGCGCAAGGAGGACUUGAAGCCAUCUGCCCCCCAACAGGAGGGUGAGGCAUCCAAAGAGAAAGAGGAAGUGGCAGAGGAGGUAGGAGCUGGGCUCCUGGGGUGCACCAUGGGGGGUUCCUGGGUAGGGACCCCAUCCCCCACAGACGCACUGCUUGCCUCCUGGGCUCCCAGGGCCCAGAGGGGCCUCCUGACCUUCCAUAGCCCCUACAGGGACUGUGUGCAGGGCUAACCCUCAACCUGAGUGGGAGGUCCCCCCACGGAUGACCCCUCAGGCAUG